rnacentral:rRNA from 1 species
AACGAACGCUGGCGGCAUGCCUAACACAUGCAAGUCGAACGAGACCUUCGGGUCUAGUGGCGCACGGGUGCGUAACGCGUGGGAACCUGCCCUUAGGUUCGGAAUAACUCCCCGAAAGGGGUGCUAAUACCGGAUAAUGUCUUCGGACCAAAGAUUUAUCGCCUUUGGAUGGGCCCGCGUUGGAUUAGCUAGUUGGUAGGGUAAAAGCCUACCAAGGCGACGAUACAUAGCUGGUCUGUGAGGAUGAUCAGCCACACUGGGACUGAGACACGGCCCAGACUCCUACGGGAGGCAGCAGUGGGGAAUAUUGGACCAUGGGCGAAAGCCUGAUCCAGCAAGGCCGCGUGAGUUAUGAAGGCAUUAGGGUUGUAAAGCUCUUUUACCCGGGAUGAUAAUGACAGUACCGGGAGAAUAAGCUCCGGCUAACUCCGUG